rnacentral:ncRNA from 1 species
GAUCGUUUAGGUCCGCGUUGUAAUUUUAGCUAAGCAAUUGUUCUACAUGUAAAUUUAAGUGUGAUAAAAUGAAUAAAUAAAUUUUUAUUAAGUAAUUCUCAGUAGAAAAUAUUAGAUUUAAGAUAAAAAUUAUAUCUAGGAAAUCGCUUAAAAGCGGAAAAUAGCGUGCCAGCAGCCGCGGUUAUACGUAUGCUUUAAGUUAAAAUUUUAUCUACAGAGCUUUGUUUUACUUUAUAUUUAGACUUUAAUUUUAUUAUUAAGUAGAAUUUUAAUGAAAGGAAAUGAUAAAGGUCGUAAACUUUUUAAUCGGAAAUUUUUGGACCAGGAUUAGAUACCCUGUUACUUCCGUUAAUAGGCUCUGGAACAGUAUUAAUAAAGAAAUUUAGCGGAUUUGGCGGCAAGAUAGCCCAUUUAGAGGAGCCUGCCCUGUAAACGAUGAGCCACGAAAGGCCCUACUUUAUUUUGUAAUCAGUUUGUAUACCGCUGUUGUCAGUCAGUUUUAAUAGAAAACUUUCCAUAAUGAUAAUAAUCAUUGACUUCAAGUAAAGGUGCAGCUUAUAAUAAAGUUAGAGGUGGGUUACAAUUUAAAGAAAAAAACGAACAAUAAUAUUAAAAAUUAUUUGAAGGUGGAUUUAAUUGUAAAGUUUUAGCAAACUUGACGAGAGCACUAACUUGUGUACACACCGCCCGUCGCUCUCUUUUUUAAAAGAGAUAAGUCGUAACAAGGUAAGUGUAAUGGAAAUUGUACUUGAAUGGGG